rnacentral:miRNA from 1 species
UCCUGCAUUCAUCUGGGUGCAGAGGGGCUGCACAACUCUCACACACCUAAGAAUGUGUUCUGGAAUUCUGAGUGCAGGG